rnacentral:rRNA from 1 species
AGCAGCCGCGGUAAUUCCAGCUCCAAUAGCGUAUAUUAAAGUUGUUGCAGUUAAAAAGCUCGUAGUUGAAUUUCGGGAUCAGUUGAUCGGUCGUGCCUCGGUACGUACUGGUCAAAUUGAUUCCUACCUUCUGACGAACCACGAUGUCAUUAAUUUGGUGUCGUGGGAAAUCAGGACUGUUACUUUGAAAAAUUAGAGUGUUUAAAGCAGGCUCGCGCUUGAAUACAUUAGCAUGGAAUAAUGAAAUAGGACGUUUGAUUCUAUUUUUGUUGGUUUUCUAGGAUCGACGUAAUGAUUAAUAGGGAUAGUUGGGGGCAUUAGUAUUCAAUUGUCAGAGGUGAAAUUCUUGGAUUUAUUGAAGACUAACUACUGCGUAAAGCAUUUGCCAAGGAUGUUUUCAUUAAUCAAGACGA